rnacentral:rRNA from 1 species
UACGUAGGUGGCAAGCGUUGUCCGGAUUUACUGGGCGUAAAGAGCGCGUAGGCGGCCUGCUAAGUCGGACGUGAAAUCCCUCGGCUCAACCGGGGAACUGCGUCCGAUACUGGCGAGGCUUGAAUCCGGGAGAGGGAUGUGGAAUUCCAGGUGUAGCGGUGAAAUGCGUAGAUAUGUGGAGGAACACCGAUGGCGAAGGCAGCCCCCUGGGUCAAAACUGACGCUCAUGCACGAAAGGCGU